AGUGAACGCUGGCGGUAGGCCUAACACAUGCAAGUCGAACGGCAGCACAGUAAGAGCUUGCUCUUACGGGUGGCGAGUGGCGGACGGGUGAGGAAUACAUCGGAAUCUACUUUUUCGUGGGGGAUAACGUAGGGAAACUUACGCUAAUACCGCAUACGACCUACGGGUGAAAGCAGGGGAUCUUCGGACCUUGCGCGAUUGAAUGAGCCGAUGUCGGAUUAGCUAGUUGGCGGGGUAAAGGCCCACCAAGGCGACGAUCCGUAGCUGGUCUGAGAGGAUGAUCAGCCACACUGGAACUGAGACACGGUCCAGACUCCUACGGGAGGCAGCAGUGGGGAAUAUUGGGCAAUGGGCGCAAGCCUGAUCCAGCCAUACCGCGUGGGUGAAGAAGGCCUUCGGGUUGUAAAGCCCUUUUGUUGGGAAAGAAAAGCAGCAGGUUAAUACCCCGCCGUUCUGACGGUACCCAAAGAAUAAGCACCGGCUAACUUCGUG
rnacentral:rRNA from 1 species